CAGAGUGAGCAGUGCAGGAGUUAAAGGGGCAGUGCCCUGUUGUUGCUGCAGAGCAGAUAAGUGAGCAGUGAUUAUAUGUGGGACACACAGUGGGAGGGGUGCCAUGUGACUCACACACACUCACACACUGUCACACUCAACAAACACUCACCAGGCAAAGAGCUAAAGGAUGGGGGUGAAGGCUCUGACGUGUUUCCCUUGGUACGGGAGAAGGAAGGAAAGAAAAAGGAAGAAGAGUGAGGAGGAACCUCCUUCACCUACCUCACCUUCCUCCCCCUCAUCUUCUGGCCACAAGCCAAGCCUCCGCUCCACUCCCUCUGUGAACAGUGAUACAGAUGCACAGCAGAGCCGGGCCUACUUCAGCGGGAAGGCCAGGGUGUCCUUCCGCCACCAGAUGGAUUCGACCAUGUCGGCUAAUGACUCAACCUUCUGAGUCGCACAUUUCCAUAGGAAUGAACCAAACUCGCCCUGAAUGUCAUUAAAGGGGGAUUCCUGCUUCCUGAGCCAAUCAACCAUAGGACCUUCUGAGACACCUUCUCAAGCACCUUCUCAAGUGAAGACCUAACCUUCUAGUUACUGAGUUCCACAAUCGGAGCCUCUGUAAUAAACACUCCUUCUUCUGCGUCUCAAGACUUUAGUAUUACAUUACGAAAUGAGAGCGCCCCCACUCUAUACACACCGAUAAUGGUUACAAACUCUUUCACUGGGAGCCUCAAGAACAAAUACUCUCUGAUCCUCUCAGCUUUCUGAACCAAGCUUACAGAUGGACCUACCUAUUCCCACGUUCUUGAUCCAGUUGAAACUGUCCAUAACCGAAUUUGAUACUUGCACAGCCAUUGCAACUUCCUAUUCAAUAAGGGACAGUGAGGCUCUGGAUAAGAAUGUGGACUUUAAUUUACAUUUUGACUCCAAAUUCUAAAUGGUUGUAGCAAGGGUAACCUCCUGUGCCUUAACGAGGGGCAGAAAAGUACCCUCCCCAGCAAAGCCAUUCUGAUUUUCAGCUGCUAUACCCACAUUUUGAACCUCUAUCGAAUCAGACUCAACAAGAACAUGUUCUCAGCCACCACCUUCUUACCCUCAAACCUGUAUAACUUUUCAACAUUCUAACCCUCACAGCUUGAUAACUCCAAAUUCUAACCCCCAAAACGAAUGAAUGUUCUAAACCUACUCCAUGUUCUAGACCACAAGCCUUAACAGCUAACCCCCGAAAGUAUUCCAUGUUCUAACCCCAAAUACUUGAUAACCACAUUUCAGACCAGAAACCUUGAUAAGCACACAUUCCAACCCUAAACUUAUUUCAUUUUUUAAACCCCAAUACUUGAUAGCUAUUUCAUAUUCUAACCUCAAUACUUUGAUAACUCCACAUUCUAGAUGCCAAGCCUUGAAACUACAUAUUCUAACCCCCAAAACUAUCCCAUGUUCUAACAACCAAGCCUUGACAACAUACUAACCUCAAAGCCAUAUAACUCUACAUUCUAACCUCCAUAACUACUCCACGUUCUAAGCCCCGAAGCCUAACUCAAUAUUCUAACCUCCAAGUAACUCCACAUUACAUUUUGACCUCCAAGAUCUGGUAACUCAACGUGCUAACCCCCAAACCCUUGUUAACUCUACAUUCUGAUCGACCAAGCCUUGAUCAGGUCACAUUUUGACCUCAAGCCUUUCUCAACCAAUCCACUUCCAAGGCAUCAGAUAUAAUUAAAUUCUUCACUCAAGCUGUGCUAAUGGCUUGACAUUCCGAUGCUAAGAUUUGUGUAGCAACAUCUGGUCCCUUAUAUUUAUUAACAAACAAAUCCACAUUCUCGUGUGCACACAAAGGGAGGGGAAACAGAUUUGGGUGCUCAGACCUGCAUAACAACUCCACACUGUGUUCCUUGCCAACAUACAGUCUUGACGUGCAAUGUCAAACAUUCAUUAGCAGCUACGCCUUCCGAUACCCAUUGACAGCUCCACCCUCAAAUUCAUGAUAAUUUCACAUUCUGAGCCAAUUUGACCAGGGACAAUAACUUCUCUGCCUUUCCAAUUCUCAGAAAUAAAGUCACCUUCUGUGCCUUGUUAAUGAGGCAUAUCAACAGCUCCACCUUCUGAUUGCUGAGAAUAACUAUACCUAACAUGAACAGCUCCACCUUCUGAUACUCAACAGAACCUCAUUUAUGGACAUAAAACCCCUUCUCUGUGGACUACCAAAAGCAAACGUUCUUCAUGAACUCAUUAGUGGAACAGACGGCAUGGGUUGGGUCUGUAGACUGUAUCUAUAAGCAGUGCUGUUACUUUGCUGUUCCUGGGAUUUGGUGAGGAACCCCUUGUCUAUAAGAAGAGAAGCUACCGUGACUUCCAGUUCCAACCCUUAUUAAAUGUAAAGACAAUAAAUAUAGGUAGAAUUUUUUUAUUAA